rnacentral:rRNA from 1 species
CGGGUACAACGAGUCGCAAGACCGCGAGGUUUAGCAGAUCUCUUAAAGCCGUUCUCAGUUCGGAUUGUAGGCUGCAACUCGCCUACAUGAAGUCGGAAUCGCUAGUAAUCGCGGAUCAGCAUGCCGCGGUGAAUACGUUCCCGGGCCUUGUACACACCGCCCGUCACACCAUGAGAGUUUGUAACACCCAAAGCCGGUGGGGUAACCUUUUGGAGCCAGCCGUCUAAGGUGGGACAGAUGAUUAGGGUGAAGUCGUAACAAGGUACC